rnacentral:lncRNA from 1 species
GAGACUCUGUCUCAAAAAGAAGAAAUAAGACAUCCCUACUUUAUUUUUGGCAAAGUAUUUUGCCUGACCUCUCUGGUUCCAAUGCUUAUUCAACAAAUGCUUAAACUUCCGUAUGUCAGAUACUGGACAAUUUCUGCUCUGAGGGAGCUUUUCUCUGAUGUUGACACAGACUGAAGAAAGUAAAUGACAUUCGGCCAGGCGCGGUGGCUCACACCUGUAAUCCCAGCACUUUGGGAGGCCGAGGCGGGCGGAUCACGAGGUCAGGAUAUCGAGACCAUCCUGGCUAACACAGUGAAACCCCGUCUCUACUAAAAAUACAAAAAAUUAGCCGGGCGUGGUGGCGGGCGCCUGUAGUCCCAGCUACUAGGGAGGCUGGGGCAGAAAAAUGGCGUGAACCUGGGAGGUGGAGCUUGCAGUGAGCCGAGAUCNNNNNNNNNNNNNNNNNNNNNNNNNNNNNNNNNNNNNNNNNNNNNNNNNNNNNNNNNNNNAAAAGAAAGUAAAUGACAUUCUUUGGUAGGUACUUGUAGGCCUGAGAGGUCAGGAAAAUUUUUCUAAGGAGUCCCCAGCUACGAUUUUUAAUUCAAAGAAUCUCCAGCCAUGCAAAGCUGCAAGCUCGCAGUUCUUUCCACCUGCCCUUCCCCCAAGAACGCUCAGCCCCAUUUCACUGGACUUUGAAGGUUCCUACACUGACUUCGUAUUUCUCCCCAUGUAAAUCUCAUGCAGGGGCCACGUGCCACCCCUGGGAAGCCAACCUUGAUCAUCCAGUUCACAUUAUCUUCCUCCUGCCAUUUAUCUUGCCUCCACUGAGUUUUAAUUCCAGGCUCCCACUUCCUGUGAUUGUAAACAUAUCCCUUCAUCCCUAUGUCUCCAUUUGACCAGUCAGCUACCAAAUGUCGGAAACAAUGCCUUGCCCACCUCUCCUGUUUGGUGGAAGACUAGGACAGUCGUGUAUGUUACUUGGUAAGCAGUACACUGAGUCACUGUAGCAAACGCUUGUUAAUUGGCUUAUCGGUCCUGGCUCCACCACGCUGGUUUCCAGUCCCACAAAACUGGGUAGGCCAACUAGUUUUAGCGUUUCUUCUCAGGGGUCGGUCGGAGGCGGGGAGGCCGGAGCUGCGGGCGUAGGGACCUGGUGGCUCCUGAAGCGCACGCGGGCGGGCGGCAGGUGUGCGCGGCAUCCCUAUCACGUGGCCGAAGAGCCUGGGGCGCGCGGACCCUGGCAGGGGGCGGGGCGCACGCAGGCCACACCCCCUUCAGGCUCCCACCCAGGCGCUGGAGAGGGGCCAAGGCCUCUGGAAGGUCCAACCUGGAGGGUGGUUCAAAGGGGUGUUGGGCACCCUCAAAUUAGGGGAAAAUUGGGGAGUACUCUCUCCUUCCCCAGGGUGGAGGUGACUACAAUCAUAAGCAGGGAGCCGGUGCCCCUGAGGAAGGAGACCCUGAGGGAGAUAAGAUGGAGGGGCUCGGGAUUCCGGGGAGCCCCAGGUCCCAGCUUGAAACGGUGGAGUCCGGGCAAAUGAGCUCUGAGGACGGCUUCUGAGCCUGGCCGUGACCCAGAUUGCAGUGAGAGUUCCCGCAGGCCCCGCCUCUUUCUGGGCCUCGUGUCUCCCAGCCGCCGGGCCGGGUGCGAGGCCUUACCCCUCUGAUCUGCUGCAGGAUGGGCCUCUCCGCUGCGGCCCCGUUGUGGGGUCCCCCGGGGCUGCUCCUGGCCAUCGCCCUGCACCCAGCGCUGUCGGUGCCCCCGCGCCGGGACUACUGCGUGCUGGGCGCUGGGCCCGCGGGCC